rnacentral:rRNA from 1 species
UGAAAGGCAGGGGCUCAACCUCUGGACUGCGUUGGAUACUUCCGUGCUUGAGUACUGGAGGGGAGACUGGAAUUCACGGUGUAGCAGUGAAAUGCGUAGAUAUCGUGAGGAAGACCGGUGGCGAAGGCGAGUCUCUGGACAGAUCCUGACGCUGAGGCACGAAGGCUGGGGGAGCGAACAGGAUUAGAUACCCUGGUAGUCCCAGCAGUAAACGAUGUGAGCUUGAUGUGGGGGGAUUCGACCCCUUCCGUGUCGAAGCUAACGCGAUAAGCUCACCGCCUGAGGAGUACGGCCGCAAGGCUAAAACUCAAAGAAAUUGACGGGGACCCGCACAAGCGGUGGAGUAUGUGGCUUAAUUCGAUGCAACGCGAAGAACCUUACCUGGCCUUGACAUGCAUUGUGUCGUCGGUGAAAGCCGGCUAGUCCUGGAAACAGGACGCUUUGCACAGGUGCUGCAUGGCUGUCGUCAGCUCGUGUCGUGAGAUGUUGGGUUAAGUCCCGCAACGAGCGCAACCCUUGUGGUCAGUUACUAACCGGCUUAGCCGGAGGACUCUGGCCAGACUGCCCUGUCAAACGGGGAGGAAGGUGGGGGCGACGUCAAGUCAGUAUGGCCCUUAUGGCCAGGGCUGCACACGUACUACAAUGCCCGGUACAAUGUGAACCGAAACCGCGAGGUGGAGGAAAUCGCUCUUGAAAACCGGGCCCAGUUCGGAUUGGAGUCUGCAACUCGACUCCAUGAAGUCGGAAUCGCUAGUAAUGGCGUAUCAGCAACGACGCCGUGAAUACGUUCCCGGGUCUUGUACACACCGCCCGUCACAUCAUGGAAGUCUCCUGUACCCGAAGCACGUGCGCCAACCUUUUAGGAGGCAGCGUUCGAAGGUAUGGGAGCAACUGGGAUGAAGUCGU